AAGUCUAAAGAGUUCAGGUCUGCUUCAGUGAGAGAGAUCAAAGCUUUAGCUUAAUCUUCUUUGUCAACCAUGGUUGUUCCGGUGAUCGACUUCUCCAAGCUCGAUGGCGCCGCCGCCGAGAGGGCGGAGACGAUGGCGCAGAUCGCCAACGGCUGCGAGGAGUGGGGUUUCUUCCAGGUACAGACAUGAUGAUACAUGAACGAACGUCUAGUCACGUUCAUGGAGAUUGUAACGCUGAAGAACGCAUUGCAUCGUUGUCGUUGGGUUCGUUAAACCUGAUGGAAUUUUGUGAUCGAAUAACUGCAGCUUGUGAACCAUGGCAUCCCGCUGGAGCUUCUUGAGCGCGUGAAGAAGGUGUGCUCCGAGUGCUACCGCAUCCGGGAGGCCGGGUUCAAGGCGUCGGAGCCGGUGCGCACGCUGGAGGCGCUGGUGGAGGCCGAGCAGCGCGGCGAGGCGGUGGCGCCGGUGGACGACAUGGACUGGGAGGACAUCUUCUACAUCCACGACGGCAGCCAGUGGCCGUCGAACCCGCCGGAGUUCAAGGAGACCAUGCGCGAGUACCGCGCCGAGCUGAGGAAGCUCGCCGGGCGCGUCAUGGAGGCCAUGGACGAGAACCUCGGCCUUGAGAAGGGCGCCAUCCAGCGCGCCUUCUCCGGCGACGGCCGCCACGAGCCCUUCUUCGGCACCAAGGUCAGCCACUAUCCGCCGUGCCCGCGCCCGGACCUCGUCACGGGCCUCCGCGCGCACACGGACGCCGGCGGCGUCAUCCUGCUGUACCAGGACGACCAGGUCGGCGGCCUGGAGGUGCUCAAGGACGGCCAGUGGACGGACGUGCAGCCGCUCGCCGGCGCCAUCGUCGUCAACACCGGCGACCAGAUCGAGGUGCUCAGCAACGGCCGCUACCGCAGCGCGUGGCACCGCGUCCUCCCCAUGCGCGACGCCAACCGCCGCUCCAUCGCAUCCUUCUACAACCCGGCCAACGAGGCCACCAUCUCGCCGGCGGCGGUGGCCGGCGGCGAGGCCUACCCCAAGUACGUCUUCGGCGACUACAUGGACGUGUACGCCAAGCAGAAAUUCCAGGCCAAG
rnacentral:lncRNA from 1 species